rfam:Triticum aestivum genome assembly, contig: Triticum_aestivum_CS42_TGACv1_scaffold_196087_3AL
UACAUACUCCCUCCGUUGGAAAUUACUCGUCCAAGAAAUGAAUGUAUCUAGAUGUAUUUUAGUUAUAGAUACAUCCAUUUUUGUGACAAGUAAUUCCGAACGGAGGGAGUACUAC